GCCCGCCUCCCUGCGAGCCGAUCUCGGUCCGCUCCGAGGGAAGGGAAAAUAAAGCAUGUUUGUGUGAGAGCGCGCUGUCACAAGAGGCGAGGGAGGGGGGUAGGGUGGACUCCGGUUCGGGUGAGGGGGUGGGCUCGGUGGAUCGAGAGGGAGAGAGGACCUGGCCCUUUAAAUAGAUCAACCAUUCGGUGGGAAGAGACGUUAGCCUGGAGACUCUCCGAAAAAGCUGAGCUUACUGUACGUUUGCCCUGGUCAAGGAAAGAAAAGGGGCAGAGUGACACCUCCUCAGCCAGUUUCUGAUUGAGUCUUGAAAGUUCGACUUGACAGAUUCGGGCGAGAUGGGGAAAAUCCAGGCUGAGCUGAGAGCAUCCCGGUGAUGGAGGUGUUGGGGUUCCCCGGUGCGAACGUCUUUGCUUCCGGGCAGGCCCCCUGUAAAGGAAGGAUCUUCUCCUGAAGCACGCAAGACCAGCCCCCCUUUCUUUCCAAGGCACGUGCUUCAGAUGGAGCAUCGGAAAUGAUCUUCCAGUCUGCCCUUGUAUUGUCUUUUGCGAAUGCGGGCCGAGCCCUUCGCUAGGGGCUCUUCAUGGUAGACCCGAGUGCUAAUAGUCCCGGGUGCUUUGAAGAUAAAAACCAGCAAAGUGUGUUAAGAGGCUCCAUGUUUCCUUGGCGACCGCGAGCGCUGC
rnacentral:lncRNA from 1 species